rnacentral:rRNA from 1 species
CUGGAACGCGCCCCUGGCGCACCCAGAACCCCUUUGUGAACUUAUACCUUACUGUUGCCUGGGCGCAGGCCGUCCCCUACGGGUCCCUUGCAGACAAGGAGCAGCCGGCCGGUGGCCAAAUUAACUCUGUUUUUACACUGUAACUCUGAGUACAAAACAUAAAUGAAUCAAAACUUUCAACAACGGAUCUCUUGGUUCUGGCAUCGAUGAAGAACGCAGCGAAAUGCGAUAAGUAAUGUGAAUUGCAGAAUUCAGUGAAUCAUCGAAUCUUUGAACGCACAUUGCGCCCUCUGGUAUUCCGGAGGGCAUGCCUGUUCGAGCGUCAUUUCAACCCUCAAGCCUGGCUUGGUGUUGGGGCACUGCCUGUAAAAGGGCAGGCCCUGAAAUAUAGUGGCGAGCUCGCCAGGACUCCGAGCGUAGUAGUUAAACCCUCGCUUUGGAAGGCCUGGCGGUGCCCUGCCGUUAAACCCCAACUUUUGAAAAUUUGACCUCG